rnacentral:tRNA from 1 species
GGCCUCGUAGCUCAGCCUGGUAGAGCACCGGCCUUUUAAGCCGGGUGUCGCGGGUCCAAAUCCCGUCGGGGCCA